UACGGAGGGUGCAAGCGUUGUCCGGAUUCAUUGGGUUUAAAGGGUGCGCAGGCGGGAGGCUAAGUCGGGGGUGAAAGACGGUUGCUCAACAAUCGCAGUGCCUUCGAUACUGGUUUUCUUGGGUGAAGUUGAGGUAGGCGGAAUGGAAGGUGUAGCGGUGAAAUGCAUAGAUACCUUCCAGAACUCCGAUUGCGAAGGCAGCCUACUGGACUUUCACCGACGCUCAGGCACGAAAGCGUGGGGAUCAAACAGG
rnacentral:rRNA from 1 species